UAUGUGAUCGUCUCUCGCAUAUCAAUAAGCGGAGGAAAAGAAACUAACAAGGAUUCCCCUAGUAACGGCGAGUGAAGCGGGAAGAGCUCAAAUUUGAAAUCUUAAAGGGUUUCCCUUUACGAAUUGUAGUUUAAAGAAGUGUUUUCUGUUGAGGUUUUGGUAAAAGUUCUUUGGAAUAGGACAUCAUAGAGGGUGAGAAUCCCGUAUUUGACCUUUACUUUCAACUUUGUGAUACACUUUCAAAGAGUCGGAUUGUUUGGGAAUGCAGUCCAAAAUGGGUGGUAAAUUUCAUCUAAAGCUAAAUAUUGGCGAGAGACCGAUAGCGAACAAGUACCGUGAGGGAAAGAUGAAAAGAACUUUGAAAAGAGAGUUAAACAGUACGUGAAAUUGUCAAAAGGGAAGCGUUUGACACCAGUGUUGUUUUUCUGAAAAUCAAUUAAAGAACUGUUUAUGCUAAGCUGUUUAGACUUUAUCAGCUAUCUGUUUAGUUUUGAGCUUUUCUUUAAUGCACUUUUCAGUUAACAAGUCAACAUCAAGUUUCUUUUGCUGUAAAAAAGCUUGAGGAAGGUGGCUUGAGAUUCGUCUUAAGUGUUUAUAGCCUCUUGCCUAUGCAGUCGGAGAGAUUGAGGUCUGCAGCGUAGAUCCUUCGGGGCUAAAUGCAUUUGUGCUAAGUUAUAGCAUUUUAUAGACAACUUGUUGACUAUGAUUUGUCUUGUAGCUUACUCGCUUAUGUUAUUUUACCUACGCUUAGGAUGUUGAGCGCAUGUCUCUCUCU
rnacentral:rRNA from 1 species